GCCUGGGUGGCUCAGUGGUUGAGCACCUGCCUUUAGCCCAGGGCGUGAUCCUAGAUGUGGGAUCAAGUCCCACAUCAGGCU
rnacentral:tRNA from 1 species